GAUGAACGCUGGCGGCGUGCCUAAUACAUGCAAGUCGAGCGAACAGACGAGGAGCUUGCUCCUCUGACGUUAGCGGCGGACGGGUGAGUAACACGUGGAUAACCUACCUAUAAGACUGGGAUAACUUCGGGAAACCGGAGCUAAUACCGGAUAAUAUAUUGAACCGCAUGGUUCAAUAGUGAAAGACGGUUUUGCUGUCACUUAUAGAUGGAUCCGCGCCGCAUUAGCUAGUUGGUAAGGUAACGGCUUACCAAGGCAACGAUGCGUAGCCGACCUGAGAGAGUGAUCGGCCACACGGGAACUGAGACACAGUCCAGACUCCUGCGGGCGGCAGCCGAAGGGAAUCUUCCGCAAUGGGCGAAAGCCUGACGGAACAACGCCGCGUGAGUGAUGAAGGUCUUCGGAUCGUAAAACUCUGUUAUUAGGGAAGAACAAAUGUGUAAGUAACUAUGCACGUCUUGACGGUACCUAAUCAGAAAGCCACGGCUAACUACGUG
rnacentral:rRNA from 1 species